GUUUUAAUAAUUUAAUAAAAAUAUUGGUUUUGUAAACCAAAUUUAAGACUUUGUCUUUUAAAACU
rnacentral:tRNA from 1 species